GCCUAGCCCUAAAUCUUGAUGCCUACCCUACCUAAGCAUCCGCCCGAGAACUACGAGCACAAACGCUUAAAACUCUAAGGACUUGGCGGUGUCCCAAACCCACCUAGAGGAGCCUGUUCUAUAAUCGAUAACCCACGAUACACCCAACCACCCCUCGCCAGCACAGCCUACAUACCGCCGUCGCCAGCUCACCUCGCCUGAGGGACCUACAGUGAGCACAAUAGCCGCAAAUCCCGCUAACAAGACAGGUCAAGGUAUAGCCUAUGGGGUGGAAGAAAUGGGCUACAUUUUCUAAGAUAGACUAGAUCAACGGAAUAAAGGUGUGAAAUCACCUUUAGAAGGCGGAUUUAGCAGUAAAGUGAGAUAAUUAAGCUCCCUUUAAGCCGGCCCUGGGACACGU
rnacentral:rRNA from 1 species